UCCGUAUAAUCAGGUUUUAGGGCUAUAGCUUUUUCAUAGCUUUUAAGAGCUGCAUCAAAUUGUUUCAGUUCUUUUUGUACAGUUC
rnacentral:tRNA from 1 species